rnacentral:rRNA from 1 species
GGCGCAACUAACGCAUAAAGUUAUCCGCCUGGGGAGUACGGUCGCAAGAUUAAAACUCAAAGGAAUUGACGGGACCUCCAAGGAAUUGACGGCAACUCGUACGAAUUUACGGCAAAUUAACGGGAUUUACGGCACCCCUAAGGAGUCUCCUGUAUCGAUUGUGAAUUCCCCGGGCUCAACCUGGGAACAGGGAGUCGAAACUGCGAGACUUGAAUGUUGGAGAGGGUGGGGGAAUACCUAGUGGAGAAGUGAAAUUCGUAGAGAUUAGGUGGAACACCAGAGGCGAAGGCGCCUGCCUGGCCAAACAUUGACGCUAAGGCGCGAAAGUGCGGGGAGCAAACAGGAUUAGAUACCCUGGUAGUCCGCACUGUAAACGAUGGACACUAGGCGUUCGGAGAGUUAACCCUCUGAGUGCCAAAGUUAACACAUUAAGUGUCCCGCCUGGGAAGUACGGUCGCAAGACUAAAACUCAAA